rnacentral:rRNA from 1 species
AACGAACGNCUGGCGGCAGGCUUAACACAUGCAAGUCGAACGCCCCGCAAGGGGAGUGGCAGACGGGUGAGUAACGCGUGGGAACAUACCCUUUCCUGCGGAAUAGCUCCGGGAAACUGGAAUUAAUACCGCAUACGCCCUACGGGGGAAAGAUUUAUCGGGGAAGGAUUGGCCCGCGUUGGAUUAGCUAGUUGGUGGGGUAAAGGCCUACCAAGGCGACGAUCCAUAGCUGGUCUGAGAGGAUGAUCAGCCACAUUGGGACUGAGACACGGCCCAAACUCCUACGGGAGGCAGCAGUGGGGAAUAUUGGACAAUGGGCGCAAGCCUGAUCCAGCCAUGCCGCGUGAGUGAUGAAGGCCUUAGGGUUGUAAAGCUCUUUCACCGGAGAAGAUAAUGACGGUAUCCGGAGAAGAAGCCCCGGCUAACUUCGUGCCAGCAGCCGCGGUAAUACGAAGGGGGCUAGCGUUGUUCGGAAUUACUGGGCGUAAAGCGCACGUAGGCGGAUAUUUAAGUCAGGGGUGAAAUCCCAGAGCUCAACUCUGGAACUGCCUUUG